GAGUUUGAUCCUGGCUCAGGACGAACGCUGGCGGCGUGCUUAACACAUGCAAGUCGAACGGUAAGGCCCCAGCUUGCUGGGGUACACGAGUGGCGAACGGGUGAGUAACACGUGGGUGACCUGCCCCGCACUUCGAGAUAAGCCUGGGAAACUGGGUCUAAUACCGGAUAGGACCGCACCGUGAGGGUGUGGUGGAAAGUUUUUCGGUGUGGGAUGGGCCCGCGGCCUAUCAGCUUGUUGGUGGGGUAAUGGCCUACCAAGGCGGCGACGGGUAGCCGGCCUGAGAGGGUGGACGGCCACAUUGGGACUGAGACACGGCCCAGACUCCUACGGGAGGCAGCAGUGGGGAAUAUUGCACAAUGGGCGGAAGCCUGAUGCGGCGACGCCGCGUGGGGGAUGACGGCCUUCGGGUUGUAAACUCCUUUCACCAUCGACGAAGGUUUUCUGAUGGUAGAUGGAGAAGAAGCACCGGCUAACUACGUGCCAGCAGCCGCGGUAAUACGUAGGGUGCGAGCGUUGUCCGGAAUUACUGGGCGUAAAGAGCUCGUAGGUGGUUUGUCGCGUCGUCUGUGAAAUUCCGGGGCUUAACUCCGGGCGUGCAGGCGAUACGGGCAUAACUUGAGUACUGUAGGGGAGACUGGAACUCCUGGUGUAGCGGUGAAAUGCGCAGAUAUCAGGAGGAACACCGGUGGCGAAGGCGGGUCUCUGGGCAGUAACUGACGCUGAGGAGCGAAAGCAUGGGUAGCGAACAGGAUUAGAUACCCUGGUAGUCCAUGCCGUAAACGGUGGGCGCUAGGUGUAGGGGUCUUCCACGACUUCUGUGCCGUAGCUAACGCAUUAAGCGCCCCGCCUGGGGAGUACGGCCGCAAGGCUAAAACUCAAAGGAAUUGACGGGGGCCCGCACAAGCGGCGGAGCAUGUGGAUUAAUUCGAUGCAACGCGAAGAACCUUACCUGGGCUUGACAUAUACGGGAUCGCCGCAGAGAUGUGGUUUCCCUUGUGGCUCGUAUACAGGUGGUGCAUGGUUGUCGUCAGCUCGUGUCGUGAGGUGUUGGGUUAAGUCCCGCAACGAGCGCAACCCUUGUCUUAUGUUGCCAGCACGUUAUGGUGGGGACUCGUGAGAAACUGCCGGGGUCAACUCGGAGGAAGGUGGGGAUGACGUCAAAUCAUCAUGCCCCUUAUGUCCAGGGCUUCACACAUGCUACAAUGGUCGGUACAGUGGGUUGCGAUGCCGUGAGGCGGAGCUAAUCCCUUAAAGCCGGUCUCAGUUCGGAUCGGGGUCUGCAACUCGACCCCGUGAAGUCGGAGUCGCUAGUAAUCGCAGAUCAGCAACGCUGCGGUGAAUACGUUCCCGGGCCUUGUACACGCCGCCCGUC
rnacentral:rRNA from 1 species